GACGAACGCUGGCGGCGUGCUUAACACAUGCAAGUCGAACGGAAAGGCCCUGCUUUUGUGGGGUGCUCGAGUGGCGAACGGGUGAGUAACACGUGAGUAACCUGCCCUUGACUUUGGGAUAACUUCAGGAAACUGGGGCUAAUACCGGAUAGGAGCUCCUGCUGCAUGGUGGGGGUUGGAAAGUUUCGGCGGGUGGGGAUGGACUCGCGGCUUAUCAGCUUGUUGGUGGGGUAGUGGCUUACCAAGGCUUUGACGGGUAGCCGGCCUGAGAGGGUGACCGGCCACAGUGGGGCUGAGAUACGGACAAGACGCGUACGGGAGGCAGCAGUGGGGAGUGUGGCAGAAUGGGCGGAAGCGUUAUGCAGCAACGCCGCGUGGGGGGUGACGGCCUGCGGGUUGUAAACCGCUUUCGCCGGUGACGAAGCGUGAGUGACGGGAAUGGGUAAAGAAGCACCGGCUAACUACGUG
rnacentral:rRNA from 1 species